UCCAGUGGGUCCUGUGGCCGAGGUAGUGAGACGGGAGGAAGAUGGUGGAGGUGGGUGCAGGCAGGAGGCUGCGUGGAUGCCCUGUGGACCCGGCCGUGUCACCCAGGCCUGCAGAGAGAGGCUUCCAGACCAGCCUCCUCAGACCCCAAUCCUGGAACCAUCUGUGAAGGGGAGCCCGUGUGCUGUCUACGCUAGGACACAGUAGACCCCGGAGAAGGGAAGGCUGCCCAGGGUGGGGGCCUGUCACAAAAGAGCCUGGGGAGAUGCAGGUGCUGAGCCUGGCUGCCCCUGCCCCAGCGUGGCCCGUGUCCCUGCAGCACGUGGCCGAGGAGCUCCAGCACCUGCUGCAAUGGCUGAUGGGUGCUCCCGCCGGGCUCAAGAUGAACCGUGCACUGGACCAGGUGCUGGGCCGCUUCUUCCUCUACCACAUCCACCUGUGGAUCAGCUACAUCCACCUCAUGU
rnacentral:sRNA from 1 species